AUUGAACGCUGGCGGCAUGCCUUACACAUGCAAGUCGAACGGUAACAGGUCUUCGGAUGCUGACGAGUGGCGAACGGGUGAGUAAUACAUCGGAACGUGCCCGAUCGCGGGGGAUAACGGAGCGAAAGCUUUGCUAAUACCGCAUACGAUCUACGGAUGAAAGCAGGGGACCGCAAGGCCUUGCGCGGACGGAGCGGCCGAUGGCAGAUUAGGUAGUUGGUGGGAUAAAAGCUUACCAAGCCGACGAUCUGUAGCUGGUCUGAGAGGACGACCAGCCACACUGGGACUGAGACACGGCCCAGACUCCUACGGGAGGCAGCAGUGGGGAAUUUUGGACAAUGGGCGAAAGCCUGAUCCAGCCAUGCCGCGUGCAGGAUGAAGGCCUUCGGGUUGUAAACUGCUUUUGUACGGAACGAAAAGACUCUUUCUAAUAAAGAGGGUCCAUGACGGUACCGUAAGAAUAAGCACCGGCUAACUACGUG
rnacentral:rRNA from 1 species